rnacentral:rRNA from 1 species
UUGGAGGGCAAGUCUGGUGCCAGCAGCCGCGGUAAUUCCAGCUCCAAUAGCGUAUAUUAAAGUUGUUGCAGUUAAAAAGCUCGUAGUUGAAUUUCGGGGUUCUACCGUUGGUCGGGCUUUGUCUGUACUGGUGUGUGGGAUUUCUACCUUCUGGGGAACCAUCAUGCUAUUAAUUUAGCGUGGUGGGAAACCAGGACCUUUACCUUGAAAAAAUUAGUGUGUUCAAAGCAGGCUUAUGUCUGAAUACAUUAGCGUGGAAUAAUAGAAUAGGACGGUGGUCCUGUUUUGUUGGUUUCUGAAUCACCGUAAUGAUUAAUAGGGAUAGUUGGGGGCAUUAGUAUUCAAUUGUCAGAGGUGAAAUUCUUGGAUUUAUUGAAGACUAACUUCUGCGAAAGCAUUUGCCAAGGAUGUUUUCAUUAAUCAAGAACGAAAGUUAGGGGAUCGAAGACGAUCAGAUACCGUCGUAGUCUUAACCAUAAACUAUGCCGACUAGGGAUCGGACGAUGUUAAUUUUUCUUGACUCGUUCGGCGCCUUACGGGAAAC